UUAUGUUUGACUUCUUGGUUUGGAUAGCGGGUUCAUGCUUGUUUAAGGAAAAGAUAAAGAAAGAAAAAAACCUGGAUCUUUUUUUCGUUGAGGCCCAGGCUGGAGUGGAGUGGCGCCAUGUCGGCUCACUGCAGCCUCCGCCUCCCGGGUUCAAGUGAUUCUCCUGCCUCAGCCUCCCAAGUAGUGGAGUGCAAUGAUUGCACCACUGUACUCCAGCCUGGGUGACAGAGUGAGACCCUGUCUCAAAAAAAAAAAAAAAAAAAAAAAAAAAGAAGGUUACCAAUACAAUCAGGGGCAAUGUCGUUCAAGAUUUGGAAAUGGGCAAAAGAGAAUGCUGGGUGUCCUUUCUGUGGAAUGCCAGGUGUUGCCCUCCUAACUCUUGGGGAUUAUGAUUCUAUGGGGUGCACCUUGACUUACCUUUCUAAUAACUAGGCUAUUUUACAACUCCAUAGGGAUAAAAGCUAAGCUGUAAAAAAACUUACAGUAAUGCAAGUGAUUCUUACCUACAAGAAUACAAAUGAAUUUUGUCUGGCAAAGAUACAAUUUUGUCUGGCAAAGAUACAAUUCUAUCCUGGAGAAAAGAUAAUCUCAAAACAUUACAUUUUAUUGUACUGUAGGAUAUUAUGGGUGUUAACCACUUUGCAUUUAUUAGCAACUUCAUUUCAGCAUUUCUCUAAUAUAUUUGGCCUUGAACAACAUGGGUUUGAACUGUGUGGGUUCACUUACAUGUGGAUUUUUUUCAAUACAUAUAUUGGAAAAUUUUUUGGAGAUUUGUAACAAUUUGAAAAAACUAGAAGAUGAACUGCUUAGCCUGGAAAUAUUGAAAAAAGGAAGAAAAAGGUAGGUCAUGAACGCAUAAAAUAUAUGUAGCACUAGUGUAUUAUUUUAAGAGAUAGGGUCUUGCUCUGUUGCCCAGGCUAGAGUGCAAUGAAACAAUCACUCACUGCAGCCUCCAACUCCUAAGGUCAAGCUGUCCUCCUGCUUCAGCCUCCCAGGUAGCUGGGACUACAGUUGCAGGCCACCACACCUGGCUAAUUUUUACAUCUUUUAUUUUAUUUUAUUUUUGUAGAGACAGGGUCUCACUAUGUUGAGACUCCAUCUCAAAAAAAGAAAAAACAAAGGGAAAGAACUCAGCGAUAUAGUCAUAUGUGGGAUGUCAAAUAUCAGCAAAAGAAUGAACGGUGCCCCCACGACAUGGGCACCAGGAGCUGUCAAGAAUAGUUCCUAUCAAGGAAAAUUCUAGAAAAUUUUCUCUACAAGAGACAGAGUCUUGCUAUGUUUCUCAGGCUGGUCUUGAACACCAGGCCUGAAGCAAUCCUCCUGCCUUGGCCUCCCAAAGCACUAGGAUUAUAGGCAUGAACCACUGCACCUAGCCCAAUACUAGUUUUUUAAAAUCAUUUACCACCAUAAAAUAUACAUACAUCUACUUUAAAAAGUUAAAAUGUAUCAAAACUUACCCACACAUUUACAGACCAUGCCUGCAGUCAAGAGAAACAUAAACAAAUUUAAAGAUGCAGUAUUAAAUAUAACUGUAUAAAGUUCACUGCAACACAUCUUGGACUACUGUGAUAAUUUAAAGAUGCAGUGUUAAAUUGUAACUGUAUAAAGUUCACUGUAGCCGGGCGUGGUGGCUCAUGCUUGUAAUCCCAGCACUUUGGGGGGCCAAGGCAGGUGGAUCACCUGAGGUCAGGAGUUCCAGACCAGCCUGGCCAAUUUGGUGAAACCUGCUCUCUACUAAAAAUACAAAAAAAAUUGGCUGGGCAUGUUGGCAGGCACCUGUAAUCCCAGCUACUCGGAAGGCUGAGGCAGGAGAAUUGCUUGAACCUGGGAGGCAGAGGUUGCAGUGAGCUGAGGUUGCGCCAUUGCACUCCAGCCUGGGCAACAAGAACAAAACUCCAUCUCAAAAACAAAAAAAAAAAGAUAACUGUAACACGUGCUGCACUACUGUGAUAAUUUAAAGAUGCAGUGUUAAAUCAUAACUGUAUAAAGUUAAUUGUAACACAUACCGCAUUACCGUGAUAACUUAAAGAUGCAGUGUUAAAUCGUAACUGUGUAAAGUUAAUUGUAACACAUACCGCAUUACCGUGAUAAUUUAAAGACGCAGUGUUAAAUCGUAACUGUAUAAAGUUAACUGUAACACAUACCGCAUUACUGUGAUAAUUUAAAGAUGCAGUGUUAAAUCGUAACUGUAUAAACUUCACUGUAACACAUACCACAUUACUGUGAUAAUUUAAAGAUGCAGUGUUAAAUCAUAACUGUAUAAACUUCACUGUAACACAUACCACAUUACUGUGAUAAUUUAAAGAUGCAGUGUUAAAUCGUAACUGUAUAAAGUUAAUUGUAACACAUACCGCAUUACUGUGGUAAUUUAAAGAUGCAGUGUUAAAUCAUAACUGUAUAAACUUCACUGUAACACAUACCACAUUACUGUGAUAACUUAAAGAUGCAGUGUUAAAUCGUAACUGUAUAAAGUUAAUUGUAACACAUACCGCAUUACCGUGAUAAUUUAAAGAUGCAGUGUUAAAUCGUAACUGUAUAAAGUUCACUGUAACACAUACCGCAUUACCGUGAUAAUUUAAAGAUGCAGUGUUAAAUCGUAUCUGUAUAAAGUUCACUGUAACACAUACCGCAUUACCGUGAUAAUUAAAAGACGCAGUGUUAAAUCGUAACUGUAUAAAGUUCACUGUAACACAUACCGCAUUGCUGUGAUAAUUUAAAGAUGCAGUGUUAAAUCGUAACUGUAUAAAGUUCACUGUAACACAUACCGCAUUACCGUGAUAAUUUAAAGACGCAGUGUUAAAUUGUAACUGUGUAAAGUUCACCGUAAUAUUGCACUACUGUGAUAAUUUAAAGAUGCAGUGUUAAAUUGUAACUGUAUAAAUUUCACUGUAACACAUACUGCCCUACUGUGAUAAUUUUGUAGCCAUCUCCUGUUGUUAUUUUAAUCAGCCCAAGUGUUGCAAAUAUCCCCUUAAAAUGUCAUGUGACAAAGUAAAUUAUCUAGGCGGUGGCUCAUGCCUAUAAUCCCAGUGCUUUAGGAGCCCGAGGAAGGAGGAUCACUUGAGGUUGGGAGUUUGAAACCAGAAAUUUUUUCUACAAAAGAAAAAUUAAAAAAUUACCCAGGCAUGGUGGCGCCUGCCUGUAGUCCCAGCUACUCAGGAGGCUGAAGGAGAGGAUCAGUUGAGCCCAGGAGUUGGAGGCUGCAGCGAGCCAUGACUGUGCCACUGCACUCCAGCCUGGGCGAUGGAGCAAGACUCUGUCUCAAAACAAAAACAAAAACAAACAUGAACAAACCCGCUAAUUAUCUCCACAUGAGCAGCUUACCUCUCCAGUAAGUUGUGAACAGCAGGAAAAAGUGAUCGAUUGGAGUUCUCCAGCGUCUUUCACUGUGUUUAGUGCAAUGCCCUAAGCCUUAUAGCAACACCGUAGGACCCAGAUGAACUGCUACGGAUGAUGCUGGAAGUGCUCCCAAAAAGCAAAGGAAAGUCCUGACAUUACAAGAAAAAGCUGGAUUGCCUGAUAUGUACCAUAGAUUGAGGUCUGCAGCUGCGGCGGCCUGCCGUUUCAGACAGACCAUUCAUCUUGUAGACAGAUGAUAUAAACUUACAGUAAUCAGUGUCAGUACAGCACUGUCAAUGUGUUUUCUCUCUGAUUUUCUUAAUAACAUUUUAUUUACUUUACUGUAUAUGAUACAUAUACAAAAAACAUGUUCAUCGACUGUUUAUGCCAUUGGUAAGGCUUCUGGUUAAUAGUAGGCUAUUGUUACUUAUGUUUUGGGGGAGUCAGAAGUUACACACGGAUUUUUGAUGGCACGGGGAUUGGCAGCCCUAACCUCCAUGUUGGUCAAAGGUCAACUGUGUUUGUGUGGGUGGGUGUAUGUUUAUGUUUUUUUUUUUUUUUUUUUUUGAGACGGAGUCUCGCUCUUUUGCCCAGGCUGGAGUGCAGUGGCGCGAUCUCGGCUCACUGCAAGCUCCGCCUCCCGGGUUCACGCCAUUCUCCUGCCUCAGCCUCCCGAGUAGCUGGGACUACAGGUGCCCACCACCACGCCCAGCUAAUUUUUUUUUGUAUUUUUAGUGGACACGGGGUUUCAUCAUGUUAGCCAGGAUGGUCUCGAUCUCCUGACCUCGUGAUCCUCCCGUCUCGGCCUCCCAAAGUGCUGGGAUUACAGGCUUGAGCCACCGCGCCUGGCCUGUUUAUGUUUAUAUAUAAAGACACACAUAAUACAUAUUAUAUACCUAUAUAAAAUGUAUAAAAAUAAUAUGUUUAUAUAUACAAUAGAUGUUUAUAUGGUAUAUAUAUGUUUAUAGAUACUAUAUAUGUUUGUGUAUAAUAUAUACAUUUCUUUCCUUCAAAUUAUUUGAACCAGUUUUAACAUCUUAUUGGUUUCUUCGUCA
rnacentral:lncRNA from 10 species